rnacentral:rRNA from 1 species
UACGAAGGGUGCAAGCGUUACUCGGAAUUACUGGGCGUAAAGCGUGCGUAGGUGGUGAGUUAAGUCUGUCGUGAAAGCCCCGGGCUCAACCUGGGAAUGGCGAUGGAUACUGGCUCGCUAGAGUGCGGUAGAGGAGAGUGGAAUUCCUGGUGUAGCAGUGAAAUGCGUAGAUAUCAGGAGGAAUACCGAUGGCGAAGGCAGGUCUCUGGGCUGACACUGACGCUCAUGCACGAAAGCGUGGGGAGCAAACAGG